UUCUAAAUGAUAUUUAUAUUUAGUAAGACCUGCUCAAUGUAUAAUAAAUAGCCGCGGCUAUCCGUGCUAAGGUAGCAUAAUCAUUUGCCUCUUAAUUAGAGGCUAGAAUGAAAGGUCUAACAUAUUAUUAUCUUUAUUUAAAUAUUUUCUUUAAAUUUUCCAGUAAGUAAAAAGACUUACAUUCUUUAGGGGGACGACAAGACCCUAUCGAACUUUACUUUUAGUUAAGCUGGGGUGGCCAAAAAACAAUUUCUUCUUCCCCAUCUUCCAAAAAAAACCUUAAUUAGAUCAAUCAAGUUACCGUAGGGAUAACAGCAUAAUCUUUUUUUAUAGGUCCUAUUAUAAAAAAAGAUUGUGACCUCGAUGUUGAAUUAAUUAUCUAUUAGGAGCAAGAUCUUAAUAAGAAAGUCUGUUCGACUUUUAAAUAAUUACAUGAUUUGAGUUCAGACCGGCGUGAGCCAGGUCGGUUUCUAUCUCCUCUUAUUAUCUACUAGUACGAAAGGAACAUAGAUAAUUUUUU
rnacentral:rRNA from 1 species